GGAGGCGUAGCUUAGUGGUUAAAGCGCACGAGAAGAUCAUGAGCCGUUGGUUCGAUUCCAACCACUUCCA